CCUCUCCUAAGUAAGAUGAGAUGUGUAGGAUUCAAAGUGCAGUGUAAGUUCGUCACAACAGAUACUCAAUGGAUACAUAAAACAGCUGUGCUGGAUCAGCAAAUGUUCAUCCAGGUGAGCAUCCCGCUUGUCAUGAUGGCCAACAGGGGAUACCUAAGAAAGAGUGAUAAAAGCAUAGCAAGAAUAUAAUACUUUCCCAGAACAUUAUUUGACUCUGAUUUGAAUCUUGGGCAUAUCCCGAAACGGAAUUUUUUUCCUGAGUUUCAAAUUGGUUUUUGAACUACCAUGAGCACAAACAUCCAGGAUAGUCACACAGAAAGGCACUCACCACUCAAUUCUGCUUGUGAGGGUGACAGUGCGUAUGAAUGGCUCAAGAACUUUCAUUCAGUAUUUUAUACAGAGAUAGUGGAAAAAAUCAUUUCUUACAUAGCACAAUUGCUACUUAUCAUUGUAUAAAAUUAACCUGACCUGAGCAAGUCAUCCUUUAGAAAAUGAAUUGAUUUUUGGGCAGUUUUAACUUAAUUUUUCUUCAAGAGAGCACCUUGGUACUUUUGGCCAUCAUUGUUGCUCUCUUUGUCAUUUUCAGAUCUAUUAUCUCUCGUUUUGCAGUGCUGGAGCAGGGAGAGGCUGCAACGAGCAAAACAAAGAUGUUCAACAGAACUUCCACAAUUUUUAUGAGUUGCCUAAGUGCAUUGCUUAAAUAAUUCCUUAAUUGUCUGGGGUGUUUUGCCCCCCUUGGUACACCUGAAUGUAUCUUUUUUAUUUUAGAUUAUGAAUUGUUCUUUUUUUUCCUUCUUUCCACACAACUUCAGGGUUGGUUUCUUUAUUUUUUAUUUUUCUCUCCCCCUUCAAAUAGUGAAAAAACUCCCCAAACUUCAAGUCUUCACACAGCUGAAUCCUAGUCAACACGCAGGACUUGUUAAAGUGGAAAAAAGCCUCGCUGUAUCUAAAGAUUGUCAGCUUCUAUCAGGGAAGGCUUUCUACUGAUAAAACCUGUCCUGCCUCCUGAUACUGGUCAUGUAAACCCCGAUGCAGAAAUGAGAUUUUCUUUUUUUUUCUUUUCUUUUUAAGCGGUGACAAGCAAGCUGGUACCCUGAAGUCCACUGCUUUAGCUUCUGUAGGUACAACAGCAGAUGCCUGAAGUGUUUUUGUUAGGUCAGCAUUCCUGUGGGAUAUUUUUAGUUCGAGCAACCGGUUUCUCUGAGAACAUGGAGCAUUUAGGAGCAGUGUAGGGUAAGAGCUGAACAACGUUCAUUAUCACCCUCCAAAAUAAAUCAUUUGCGCUUCAGCUGAGUCUUUCAUCAACCACUUCACAGAAAUUGUUAGCGCUAGCUGUACAACCAAGGUUGUUUUGAUUAGCAUUUGUUGACUGGGGAUGCACACAGUAUGUUGGACAUUUUUCCUUCAUUUAUAUGACAUACAGCAAAAAAAUAGGCAUUUAUAGAAUGCUUAGAGGUAAAAAUAACAAUGGGACAUAAAUGUUAAGUUUCCCUGGCAAGAAUAUGGGGUAUGACAAAAGCAUAAAAAUUCUCUUUUAUGCUAACAGACUGAUGCACAAGAUGAUGCUGUAAACCUGAAGGGAGACUUAUUUCUCCUCAUACACAUAGAUGAGUUUUGAAGCUUUUUGAAGAAACUUCUUGAUGCAUAUGGGCAAUUUGCCAGUAUUGUUAUGUAUAACUUGAGCACAAAGCCCCAUGGCAAUGCUCCACUGUAAGAGGAAUGAGUUCUAAUGAGAAAAUUUAAGAAGCUGGGCUCAGCAGCAAGUUCUGCAGGCUUCUCUACAGCUGAUAGCUGAUCAACGUUGCCCUCAUCAGACAGCAGCUGCCAAAGUUCCUGAAGGUAACUAGUAUUCUAGCUGGGAAAGCACUGGAGCUAACAGGAACUGAGAUUGCAUGAGGGAAUACCAUCAUUCAGUUGUGCUCUGAAACUAAAUCAGUUGCUUAUUUGUGACUGAAUGACUUGCUACUACAUAAGCUACCUGGCUAAUCUGUGUUAUUGCACUGAAGUAUAAAAAGAAACUACUUUAAAUGCAAGGUAGGCAUGAAGCUUCCUCUUUCAGAGAGACAAAAAUAUUUCUAGGUCUAUACUAGUAAAUGGGCAUGCUAAUAUGAAAAUCAUCUUACCAUCUUUCUCAUCAAACUGCAAGGAAUUAUAUUUCCUUCCCCUUAAGGAGCUGAGAGUAUUUAACUCUUAUCUGAGUUUCAAGUACUCUGGACACCUUGUUUCUGGUAUUUUUUCCUUUCAAGAAUUACAAUGAUUGAGAGUUGAAGUUUCAACAGAUGCAUUUAAGAUAGCUCUUUACAUUGUAUAGAAGUGGCAGCCUUUAGAUAAACCUGAAGUUGGGUUCCAUGUGUUUCCGAUACAAGAGGGAAGGAACAAUUUUUCCCUUGAGAAAGCCUAUUUAGCUUCAGAAUGGAGUGCCAAAAUGGGAAAAGGAUGCUUUAAUAUCAUACAGAUUCCCAGGGGCAUGUGUUGGACCCUUCAGACAUUAUUUGUUCAGGCACAGUAGUAAACCCCACUGAUCAUUACCAUCCACCACCUUGGAUAUGGUAAAACUGUAAGUGAGUACUAACCUAUCACAACACUGUGGUGUACAGUCUACACCCUGUGUAUUUCUGGGAUAAGUUAUGUUCAGGAAACUUGGCAUACCACUUGGUCUUAAAUCUGAAAAGUCUGCCUGUCUGAGGAUUCUGCUGGACCACAGCAGCAGGCACCAAUGCACAAAUGCCUUCUUUUUUACUUCAGUUGGUCAUUAGGUCUGGAGAAGUCAAGCUAGCUGUACAGUACUGGCUCUCCCCUCUCAUUCUCUGAUGCCCACAUGAAAAAGCCAGCACAAAGAAGGAAACAAGGUCACAGAUUAUCUGGAGGAGCAGUUCUGGUCAUAAAGAGACAUCUCUGCACGUAGCACAAGGUGUUUUAGUUCAACGCUGCUCACCUGCGUCACCAAGAACUUAGAACAUACAACGCCAUCUCCACUGGAUGUUUUGUUUCCCAUUCCUUCUACAGUCAGGAACGUUCCCAUCUCUCAUUGAGUCUUCAAAAAGAACUACUCACCUGCAAAGAAAAUGACAACUUUUCCCCACUGACGUCUGCCUAUGAAACAAAUGCUUCUGUAUGUUGUCCAUGAGCACUCAGGAUACACAAAGCCUCAUCUAUUCUUGAUCCUCUUUCAUCUUAGUAAGGAGAAUCCUGACAAAAUGAAGCUUGGAAUAAGAUAAGACAUAAUAUAUUUGCCAUUUCUAACUGCUUUGUCACUGGGUACAGGCUUUUGCAUCUGGCAGUUUAUUUUCUGGUAUUAAAAAAAAGUAAACUCUGCUGCAACUUAAAAAUGAACACCUUCAGACUAAAGCCUACCAGCCUUCUUGCCGGCAAUCCUGCAGAAACUCAUACAGAUCAAUGCAGAGAUCUUCAUUUCUGAGCAUGUUUCUAGUGCAGAAUACACACACGCACCUGGGCUACCUGCUCUGUCACUUCUCUCCUACAGGAUGCUGGGCUUACAUUGGACACAUCCCCAGAAAAAAAAUAAAUAAGAAAAAAAAAGGCAACCCUAUGUAAGAACCAGGUGCUGUAUUUAGGAACCCUUCAUGCUCAUUUUCAAAUUGAGAUAUCUAAAGGGGCUGCUAAGUGGGCUUUGGGUCACUGCAGCUUCCCAGGUGGAACACCUAUUCUCAGUCACUGUAUGCCCUGGGCUGAGGUGUGCAAAUCAAGACUCCACGUGCAGGCUUCACUACGAGAACCAUGUUCCCUAAACAUCACUCAUUAUGGAGACCUCAUGAAGCCCUAUUCAGUUCCUAUUUCUCCACUCUUACUUAACUUUUAUGGGACUGUUAAGAGUAGUGAGAAGCAUUUCAUUUAAUAACUGUAAAAAGAAUGGACUAGCUCCUCAUCUAUACUGAAAAACAGGUCAGGCACUGGAGCAGGUACAGCAGAUUAUUCAGAACUGGCUCUUGCUUUUCUGUCACCACGGCUAUUAGUCCAUCACUUUGAAACAGUGGGUUUGCAAUUAUCAGCUGCAGGGUAUCACACUCACCUCUCAGAGAAGGGCAUUUGAAAUAGCGUUAUGCACACUAAUGGUAUUUCUUCAUUUUGUUUUUCUGUUUUGCUAUGUUUGAAACAUCCCUUCUUACAGAGGUACUUCAGACUUAGUUCUCUUUGAUGCAUUCCUACUCUCUACUUGCCAUUCUUCUAAUAGAUUUCCACCAAGAUGAAGAGGCCCUGAUGACCACACUAGCCAGAACAGAAUCUCCUUACCUUUCCACACGAAGUCCAAGGAACCUGCGUCUGCUCUUGAACUGAUGUUUGAACUUGGGCAAGAUCCAACCACCUGACACUCCCUUCACAUCUUGCUGAGGCUGCUAGAUGAUGCCUGGUUUACAGUAUAUCUACCUUUCACAGGAAAAGGACAGACUGAUUAAUAGCAAGAAAGUUUCCACAAAGCUGUAACACACCCAAAUGAAUUUCUUUUACUUUGUGGUUUGCCAGGUUAUUUACUUGGCUAUUUUGCCUUUAACCCUGACUACAUACUUGCUAGUAGCUUAGUUAAGGCACAUAUAUUAUUGUGCCCACAAAUCGAGGAUUUCUUUCUUCCACUGUCCCAUAACCUGAAAUUCUCUCAGGGAGCAGACAAGAAUGGUUUAUUGAGAGCUUUCUGAAGGAAUGAAUGUAAGUGGUUCUACCAUUCCUAGGUCAACCCUCUAAAUUCCAAACAAAUACGCUCCUCAGGAAACCUCUAAGAGGAGCCUCCCUUCUUGUCAAUCCCUGCAUCAAGGAGGGUGGGGACAGGGGGGAGGAAGGCUGUCUGAAAGGGACACAGAAAUUUAAAAGAUGCUUUAAAAAUGUUAUUCCUAAUAACUACUGUUUUUCUAAGACUACAAAAUAUGAGUGGAUGAACAUCGACCUGCAGCUGUACUUGACUAACUCUACAAAAAAUGACAUAAGCCAUAAGCACUCCACCAUAACUCGGUACCAAAUCAGACACAUUAGCCUGAGCCAUUAUUGAGGGCAAUCUGCACCAACCUUGCUGAGAUGCGACCGCUCUCUGAUUCACUUCACUGCAAUUUGUACCUGAGUGGCGUGUACACCUCAGUGAACCCCAGAGUGCCUCUACAAACCAGGAGGCUUCACUUCUGAAAUGCUUAACAUCAGCAGUGCUUCACAAUUCAUCCGCGUACUCCUCUCGUUUUAUUAUCCACUGAAAGCAGUGCUCUUUAAAACGUUAUACUGAGGGUAAUACACUGUAAAAGUUUAGCUCUUGGCAUUACAAAAAAAAACAAGCCUCAGUACUUCCCAUUAGAAAUCUCUAUUAAUUUCAACCUCUGAAAAGACUGAGUGCCUCAGAAAGCAGAAAUCACCAAGUCUGAGACUUACUGAUGAGCUAACACCACACAAAGUAUUAAGAUUUUUGUUUGUACAUAAAUGCGACAAUCCCAAUGGCUCAGAACAUCACGAAAUCUAACUCGGUACUUAUCAGAUUAGUAAGCAACUAAGACGUGUUAAGUACCAUUUAUUACACCGUUCCCAUUGUAAGAUCCAGUGAUAUGUAAAACCAAGUUGCAACUCCAUACACAGAAUACUUUAAAUCCGAUGGAUUUAAGACCUUCCAGACCCUUCCUAAUUUUAACUGAAGGAUCGUUCUCACAGAGAAUUUCUACUCGGAUUCUAAAACCAGCUUCCAUUGUACUCACUGUCAAGGCUUAUAUCCAUCUAAGGCUUACAGGGAGACAAGUUAUGACAGUUUGUUUUUUCACUUUACAUUCAUUCAAUUCAAUUCUUACGUUAGCAUGGAAUCUGCAACACACUUCUUGCAGAUUCUGACAGCUUUUUAGAAAAGUACCUUGCUGUGGUUUUCUUCAGAGCAGAUCUUAAUUCAACAGCAAGCAUAAACCACCUACAGUUUCCAAGAAGUAUGUUAACGUGAAUGAAAUUAGUCUAGCGAAACUGUCCUGAAGUCAACUUCGCCUAUGUGCUUCUAGUGAAACUACUACUAAUGAAUCUAUGAAGUUAAGUUGCCUCUGUUGAACUCUCAGAGGAAGCUUUCUUAUCCCAAAUUAGCCACACUGAGUAAAAGAGUUUUUAAAUACCCAAUGGUGGUCACAGGUACGUUCUUCAUCUCUCUAAAGAGAAAUCUAGAAAAAAUGAACAAUAUGGGAAACACUACAGUUGGAGCCAGCGACUCAGUACCUGAUAUGCUCAGUUCCUGGCUCUUUCAAUGCCUGCAUUUGUGGAAAAACCCCUUCAAACUGCUAAGAUGGCUAUGCUUAAAAAAAAAAUACAUACUUGAUACACCAGAAGCAUUUUUGGCGAUUUUUAGGUUGCAAGAGUUUAACAUUAAACAGUAUCAGCUUCUACUCAAUAUUCAAUCAUCACUGUAAUAAACACAAAAGUUUCCAAACCAAAACCCAUAUAACCUUCCUACUCCCUGCCAAUAAGGAGUCAAUUUGCCUACAGAAGUUGGAUUUUAGGUACUGAAAUUAAUUUAAGUAGUGGAACGUCUAUAUUUACUUACCGUUAUCGCGUCUGCAGUCGAACAUCUUAUGCUAUCCUACUGGGUAAGCAGCAAUACCAUGAAUGCACUUCAUAACUGCCUUAGCGCAAGGAAGAGUGAUAAGAUUCAGUGCCUUUUCUUCCACAUCAGUGGCCAAACCAAGUGAAGAGGUGUUCUUUGCCAUACUAACUGCACAAACGGAGAUAGCAAACUAUCUCCGUUCAUCAGACACAUGCAUCAGUCUCAGAGUAGAAGGAAUCCAGAUUUCUGACACAGCUGGCUUUACCUAAAUGACUGUCAGGAAAAUAAGUGUUGGCUUUGGAGCAGACAGUAUGAUGAACAUUCAGGAAUUAAACAACCCUUUGAUCCAGAACAUAUCGUUUGAGGAAUUGAAUUCCUCUGUCAGACUUAAAAUUGUUGAACUAUUUACCUCCCUACCUACCAUGGCUGUGGUUUCUGACUGUCACAGAUGAUUCAAGCUUCUACUUCAUGCUGCGUGGAAGACCGACACUCUAAACAAGCUUUCAUGAAGGUAACUUCAAAAUAAUGAAUAUAACCCAACGCUCCCAGACAGGCUCAGCUGUGCAACAACCUGAGAGCUGGCCAUUUUACAUUAACUUUGCAGAAUUAGAAUAAAAAACAAUCAUUAAAAAAAUCGAACCAGUUACAUCUUGGCAAGAAAAAGACAUCAUUACAUGAGACAAUCACCCUUCUCUCCAAAUUCCAAGUAAUCUAACAAGCUAGUCCUAGUACUUUUCAACAAAGCUACCAUAGUAAUCAAGGCAACACAGGACCAAAAAAGUCAUACUUUCCUCCUGUGUGUUUUAUAAUACAAGUAUAAUCGAACACUUGGAAGUGCUGACAGAUCAGAUUCUUGCAUGAGAAUCAGUUUCCCAUAAAGUUUAACAUCAGUUUUUAGGAAGCUUUGUGUUUGUUUGCACUAUACUUCUGUAAAGUAACAAUUAAUUUACUCCUUCUUCCCUCAACAUCCAUACUAAGGAUCAGAGUAUCUUCAGAUAAACAUCCCUUCCUUACAUGUUGGGUUGUUCGUUUCUUUAAAUCCGAGAGACAGAACAAGUGAGAAAGUAUGAUCUGGUGUUUCCUCUACGCAAACAGCAGAAGUACCUAUUCUCAGCCUGGGGGCGUCAUGCACUAAUGUUGGCAGUUAAUUCAGCACAACAGCCUGCCUACACUGAGCGUCAAGUCCAUUGUAGCCAGUUAGGAAAUUGGGAUUCAUGAGCUUCAUGCUAGGAAGACAAACUCAAACUCCAGCUUUGUGGAUUUCAAUUCUCAGCACUAGACUAAGAAGGCUGGAUGUGGCUCUGGGCAGCCUGGUCUAAUGGUUGGCGACCCUGCACACAGCGGGGGGUUGAAACCAGAUCAUCACUUUUCAACCCAGGCCAUUCUAUGAUUCAAAAAAGUAUUGCCCUGUAGCCUACUUCCAAAUCUUUCUACUCCAUUUUAAACUAUUAACGUUUUCUAUUAAGUUUUCACUAAUGCAAAGAACAAGUAGUCAGAAUUCUGUGGAACGUUACCAGUCUGAACACACCAUUUACAGAAAACGUUACUAGAAAAUGAAGACAAUGUGGACAUAAAGCCUCCCCCACCGACAUGGGGAAGCACCAACAGAACUGUCAGGCUGAGCAAAUCCUGCCUCUGCAGGAAUUAUCAAAGGCACAAAAAAAGCUGCAUCUACAUACAGCAUUUACACAAUGAAACAUGAAGUUAACAAGCUUAUCUUCAGAGGAGGCUGAACUCAUUUUAGACUGUCAUACCCCACAAUCCUACCAACAAUAGAAUUAAUAUUCCUUAAACUUCUAAAUACAGUAUUUACCUGAGAGUCGUAUCUGCAAUAACAGCCUUCCUCUGACCAGUAAAAACAAAUGUAAGUUUAGCGUUCUAACAAUUUUCCUCCUCAAAAAACAAAAAGAAGUGCAGUUGUAUGUCCUAAAUGAAACCUCUUCGAGCGAUAAAAAAAAAAAAGUCAGAACAGAAGUACAAUUUAAAAAGUGAACUCUUUAUAAACAAGAGGUGUCGGGCAGCAGCUCCUGAUUUCUAACUACGUUCAGCUAGGCUCCAAAUUUUGGAAAGCACUCCAAAUCAAUGCUGAACUCCCCUACCUUAUGCUCUAACCUUCACAGGCGUUGCAGUUCAGAAAGACUCCUGUGAGAACAGUCCGAGGCAUUACAUGAGGUCAACGCUUGCCUUUAACAUGCCAAAAUGAACUGCGCAUUACACUCCCGACUGUCACCAAAGCACCAUCUAAGAGAUGUGUUUACUGGUGAACAGCUCACCUUUACCAACACCCAGUGCAACUAAACCAACGCUGCAUAUAUGCACUUGCUCACUCUCACCAAUACUUCCAUGCUUAAUAAUGUUUUUUUUUCUUCACACGACUGAAUUUUAAGAUUGGAAAAGAACAUCAAUUUUAGUUUUUCACCGUAUUAAUCACCACAUGCAAUUUAGUUCUUUUAAAGUUUUGCUAAAAAACUGCACCAAUAUCAGAACAGUGCAAAUCAUAUUUAAUUUUAAAAGUUAUAAUGGCUUGAGUUCAUACUUAGAGGGAACACUGUCAAGAUCUUGAUAUUUUGCUCGCUCACCAUUGCUUGCAUUCGACUGAAAACACUUUCCUGUCAAUUUUGCAGUUUCCGCAAUAGUUCCCCAUGUUUUUAUCAGAGCUGAAAUUGAGGACAGCAUCCUCAAUUUCAACACACGUAGUGCCUCAAUAGCAAAGUUUUCAUUCGUUUCCAUCAACGGUAACAAUUCCAUAAAUAUAUUACCCCCCCCCAAACACAGUUCCAAACUAAGAACUGUCGCUACCACUUGUGAUCCCACAAGUGUUGUUAAGUUUCCCAGCAAUGGAGAGAUUUUAACGUUAAGAAACCUGAGGAUGUCCCCUCGUCUACAGCCCCCAGCGUUUCCUUUUUAUAGCAAGUUCAGAAUUGCUUUCCACACCUUGACAGUGUUCCUUAUAAAACCAUAUGACAGUAAAAGUGCCAGUAGGCAUGGCAACCUCUUUGAAGGGAGCAUUUAAACUCCUUGGCACUGGGAAUGCCAGCACCAAGGAUUACAUUGAAAUUCAAAAUUAUACUUAAGGCUACAAUGAGCAAACCCACUUUCCAUAAGCCUAAUAUUCUAUCACUAGAUUUGAAAAUUCAGAAGCUAAUGCAAACUGCAUACUUUUAUGCUCAAAUCUGAAGAAAAGGUUACUCUUCUUUAGCAAGGGCAGUAUAUGAAACUGUAGUAGCAAAUGUCUCUUACGCAUUGACUACUCAUUUCACCAUCAUUCACUUACUUUGUCUUUAAGUUCAAAACUGGCAAGGCACAUUUACAUAUUCCAAUGAAUACUUGACAAUUUUAAAUUACACUUCAUGUCCCAGCUAUCCCAGUAAUUGACAUACAACAUACUAAAAUGGUUUAUUAAGAUAACAAAAAAAAAUUAAUGUGAAACAUACAGGCUAUUGGCAACCACUAUUCUAAAAAUUAUGUAAAUACAAGUAAACAUACUGAAAUGUGUGCGAUUCUAAGUUUGUAACCAGAAGAUCUCUGUACUAACACACAUUUAUAUUAAUGACACAUAAAAAAAAUAAAAACUUUAUUACAAAAAUAAGUUACACUCGCCUCCAGCUUACAGUAUAAAACAAUUUUAUUUGCAGGAAUGCAAAAUGAUUGUUUGCCAUGAGCAUUUUCAACAUAUGACAUGUCUAAUUUUGUUAAAAUUUGCAUUUACUGGGGGGAACUGGUGUGUAUAAAACCUUAAUUAGGUAUAAGCUUCAAUUUUCAUUGUGGUGCCUAUGGGUAUGUAGUAUAACUGCAGUAUCCCUUUGGGCAGGGGGUUAAGGGAAGCUCUUUAUGCCAAGUCCAAUGUAGGUCAUAAUUUUAUCUAUCUUUUACCUAUAUGAAAAGUUGGACUUGGCAAAGUUGUUUUUUUUUCUUUUAUUUUUUGUGUUUUUUUGUUUUCUUUUUUUGUUUUUUUUUUUAAGGGUGGUUCAAUAGAGGAUGCUUCACCACUGAACACUCACUGUCAUCAAGGUGCUUCAGAAAAUUAAAAACG